GCAAUUUGAAUGGCUUGAAUCAUGCCUUGAUAAAUACAAUAUUUACACUCUUUCCUGUCAAUUUUUGCUUAUAAAAACUGAUUUCCACGGGCCAUUGCAGUUCUACGUUGAAACUGUGAAGCAAAUGGCACUUCGCCAGUUGGUUGCUGGGUCACCUUUGCGAACAUUAUGCCUGCUAAUUGCUGGUCAACCAGCUGAUGUCUUCUCAGCAGAUUCAACUGCUGAUAGUAGUAUGGCUGGUGCUGUAAAUAUGCCUCACACUGAUGCUAAUGACGAAGCUGAUAAUAGCAUUAGUUCUGGGGUUGAUGGUUUAAGCAGGAAGUCGGAGAAAGUUGAGAAAAUGGUAGUGGGGAAUGUGGAAGAGAGUAUAAGUACAUUAGAGUCAGCAAAGUCAUUUGAGUUUGAUCGUUUGAUACACAAAUCAGAGAAUGGAAAUGGAGAGGCUGAGGUAUUGUCCAAUACCGAGGUCAUGAGUAAGAAUGAUGGUGGAGUGGGGCCUUCUGGAGUUAAAGAGAUGGAUUGGAGUGCAUUUCAUGCUGAUUUGGCUCAGAAUAAUAGUCAAGGGUUUGGAUCCUAUUCAGAUUUUUUCACUGAGUUAGGAGGGGAUAUUGCUGCUGAUGCAUUUGGAAAUGUGGGGAAUAGUUCACAAUUUGAGUCCAAGGUUGCUUCUGGGAAUGAAGCAUAUGGAUCUGCACAUGUGGAGAAUUCAACUAACUACUUGCGAAAUCAAGAAGGAUAUAAUUAUGGUACAGCUUCAGAUCAGUGUACAACUGCAGACCAGAGUACAGCCGGGCAGGAUAUGAAUAGCAGUCAGUAUUGGGAGAAUCUAUAUCCUGGUUGGAAGUAUGAUCAAAAUACUGGUCAGUGGUAUGAGGUGGAUGGUUACGAUGCAGGUGCGAGCAUGCAAGCAAAUGUUGACACUAAUAUGCCUUCUGAUGGGGGGCAAUCUCACGGUAAGGCAGAUGUCUCUUACUUGCAGCAAUCUGCUCAGUCGAUCACUGAGACUGUAGCUGAGACUGCUACAAUGGAGACGUUUACUAACUGGAAUCCGGUAUCACAGGUGAGUGAUAUUACGGAAGGCACAGACAAUUGGAAUCAAGUUUCACAAGUGAAUAACGGUGCUCCUGAAGCUGCGUCUGAUUGGAAUCAGGCUUCUCAAGCAAACAAUGGGUAUCCACAGCAUAUGGUGUUUUAUCCUCAAUACCCUGGUUGGUAUUAUGAUACUAUUGCCCAGGAUUGGCGCAGUUUGGAUUCGUAUGCUCCAUCUGUUCAGUCUGCUCAAGCUCUAGACCAGGUGAAUCAGAAUGGAUCUCAUAAUAAUAAUCAGAAGGCAUACAGUGGAUACAAUCAAGUUAAUAACUAUGAAUCCCAGGGUUUUAGCAGCCAAGGCCAAGAUCACAACUGGGGUGGGUCCUUCAGUGAUUACAAUAAACAGAAAUCAGCCAUGUGGCAACCUGAAACCGUUGCCAAGAGUGACUCUACUUCACAAUAUAAUAGGAACCAACAAUUGGAGACUCAGCAUAGGCAGGACUUCAUCACGAGCAGUCACGGUAGCCAACAAACUGUUGAGUUUGAGAGAGCAAGUUCAUAUUUUGGGAAUGCAAGUCAAAAUCAGAAUGACUUCUCUACGAGUGCUGUGUCACAAGGUUUUGUUCCUGGUGGGAACUUUAGCGAGCAGUUUAACGAGCCGAGAAACAAUCAAAAUGAGCACAAGCAUGCCUUAAAUGCCUACUAUGGCAAUCAGAGUUCUCUUAACUUUUCACAGCAACAGUUGCAGAGUGCCCAUCAAUUCUCGUCUGCUCCUGCUGCUGGAAGAUCAUCUGCAGGCCGUCCUUCACAUGCUUUGGUCACUUUUGGUUUUGGUGGAAAGCUCAUUGUGAUGAAAGAUAAUAGCUCUAUAGAGAGUUCAACAUUUGGAAGUCAGGUUAGUUUGAGAUUUACAUUGUUCUAGUUUUCUUAAUAGUAUUACUUAUAGCUGAAAAAUGUUUUUGUAUUUUGUGUGAAGAAUCCUGUAGGAAGUUCAAUAUCUGUUCUCAACUUAGCAGAAGUUGUCAAUGAGAAAGUUGAUGCUUCAAGCAUUGGAGUGGGUGGUAGUAAUUAUUUGCAGGUUCUCUGUAGACAAUCCUUCCCUGGUCCUCUUACCAGUGGAAGUGUUGGUGUUAAGGAGUUGAACAGAUGGAUUGAUGAGAGGAUAAUGAACUCUGAGUCUCCUGAUACGGAUUACAGGAAGGGCGAAGUUUUGAGGUUGCUUCUGUCAUUGCUUAAGAUAGCCUGUCAGUAUUAUGGAAAACUUAGAUCUCCUUACGGUAGUGAUGCAGCAUUGAAGGUACAUUACAUAUUUGUCCUGUAAAUGCAGUUGCAUUUACUUGAGAUUACUGAAUAUAACUAUCAUUACAUUGGAUCCACUUAAUUAUUUUCAAUAGCUCUAUCCUUUGCGACACAUUCUUGAGUUCUGAUGCACUAAAGAAGCACAAGUCUUGCUCAAUGAUUGGAAAAAACUUCGAUUGACAUGCAUUAAUGUGUCUAAAAGACUUAAAAACAUACUUGAGCCACAAGACUUUGUGAGUAAGAUAUGUUUCUGCUCUAUCUAUCUGAACAAAUUUAAAACUUAUCUGAGGGAAAAUGUCUGAGUUUCUUGAUAUUUCUAAUAUGAUGUCAAGUUGCCUGGGUAAAUAUCACUCUUCCUAUAGUCCUACUAUACAGGGUUUUUUCUUUUCUCUUGGAGAUGCCUUCUUAGCUUGUUGAUUGAGGUAUUGCAUUCACUAAUCUUGUAUUUUUUAUUCUCUUUGUUUUAUUAUUAAAGGAAAGUGAUGUUCCAGAAUCUGCAGUUGCCAAACUCUUUGCAUCUGCUAAGAAGAAUGGUGCACAAUUUAGUCAAUAUGGUGCUGUUUCCCACUGCUUGCAGCAUUUGCCUUCUGAAGGACAACUGCGGGUAUUUGAUUGUUAACCUGCAAGUUGUUUUUUUGUGCAACAUAAUCAUAAUAACUGCCAAUUCAUGUUUUAGGCCUCAGCUGCUGAAGUUCAAAGUCUUCUGGUUUCUGGGAGAAAGAAAGAGGCUUUACAAUAUGCACAAGAGGGUCAAUUGUGGGGUCCUGCCCUAGUUCUUGCUGCACAACUUGGUGAUCAGGUUUGUGAGUGCAAUAACUGUUUACUUUGGCUGGCAAUUUGAAUGGCUUGAAUCAUGCCUUGAUAAAUACAAUAUUUACACUCUUUCCUGUCAAUUUUUGCCUAUAAAAACUGAUUUCCACGGGCCAUUGCAGUUCUACGUUGAAACUGUGAAGCAAAUGGCACUUCGCCAGUUGGUUGCUGGGUCACCUUUGCGAACAUUAUGCCUGCUAAUUGCUGGUCAACCAGCUGAUGUCUUCUCAGCAGAUUCAACUGCUGAUAGUAGUAUGGCUGGUGCUGUAAAUAUGCCUCAUCAACCUGCUCAGGUAUGCAUGAUUGCAUGAAUGUUGCUGUUUAAUAUAUGUUUCCCUUGCUACUGUAUCCUUGAAUAGAUUUCAAGUUAUCACAAAUUAGCAAAAUAAGAACGUUCUUGUUCAUGAGAUUUUUUUGACUCAUCGAGAAAAGAAUAAAAUGCAUUUGGCCUGUUAAUCAGUUAAUCUGCAGCCCUGACUGUAGAUGGUAUUUUUAUAUAUUGCAGGAAAAUUUACUUGAAGAUCCUGUUGAUAG
rnacentral:lncRNA from 1 species